AGCGUAGACGGAUGGACAAGUCUGAUGUGAAAGGCUGGGGCUCAACCCCGGGACUGCAUUGGAAACUGCCCGUCUUGAGUGCCGGAGAGGUAAGCGGAAUUCCUAGUGUAGCGGUGAAAUGCGUAGAUAUUAGGAGGAACACCAGUGGCGAAGGCGGCUUACUGGACGGUAACUGACGCUGAGGCACGAAGGCCAGGGGAGCGAAAG
rnacentral:rRNA from 1 species